AUUGAACGCUGGCGGCAGGCCUAACACAUGCAAGUCGAACGAGUGGCGGACGGGUGAGUAAUGUCUGGGAAACUGCCUGAUGGAGGGGGAUAACUACUGGAAACGGUAGCUAAUACCGCAUACCAUCGGAUGUGCCCAGAUGGGAUUAGCUAGUAGGUGGGGUAACGGCUCACCUAGGCGACGAUCCCUAGCUGGUCUGAGAGGAUGACCGGCAACCCUUGAACGGAGCCAGGGUCCAGACUCCUACGGGUGGCAGCAGGGGGGAAUAUUGCACAAUGGGCGCAAUCCUGAGGCAGCCAUGCCGCGUGUAGGAAGAAGGCCUUCGGGUUGUAAAGUACUUGCAGCGGGGAGGCGUUACCCGCAGAAGAAGCACCGGCUAACUCCGUGCCAGCAGCCGCGGUAAUUC
rnacentral:rRNA from 1 species